AUUACCUUUCUAUUGACUCAGUUAUUUGAUUUAGAAUUUGCGACUCGGUUUGUAACAUGUCGUCAUAAAUCGUAAUACUGUCUUACUUUUCCACCAGAAGGGAAAUCAAAGGCUCAACUUCAAGUGCCACAGAUGGAAACUCUGCAUGGUCACGUAGUGGAGGACGCACCAUAUUACCACCAGGGGGAUGAAGUGUUUCUAGAAAGUUCUGGGCAAUCAGAUAAAAUCAAAGAAGAAAAGAUGGACAGUGCAAUGGACAAUGGUCUCUGUUUCAAGCCUUCCAUGUCUGUGCAAAUUUGUAAACAAGAAG